rnacentral:rRNA from 1 species
UACGGAGGGUGCAAGCGUUAUCCGGAUUUACUGGGUUUAAAGAGUGCGUAGGUGGGUCUGUAAGUCAGUGGUGAAAUCUCCGAGCUUAACUCGGAAACUGCCAUUGAUACUAUAGGUCUUGAAUUAUCUGGAGGUAAGCGGAAUAUGUCAUGUAGCGGUGAAAUGCUUAGAUAUGACAUAGAACACCAAUUGCGAAGGCAGCUUACUACGGAUUGAUUGACACUGAGGCACGAAAGCGUGGGGAUCAAACAGG